GCGAGUGUGCUGGAAUUGGCAGACAGGCACGUUUGAGGGGCGUGUGUCACUUGGCGUAUGGGUUCAAGUCCCAUCACUCGCACCA
rnacentral:tRNA from 1 species